UACGUAGGGGGCGAGCGUUAUCCGGAUUCAUUGGGCGUAAAGCGCGCGUAGGCGGCCGCCUAAGCGGAACCUCUAACCCCGGGGCUCAACCUCGGGUCGGGUUCCGGACUGGGCGGCUCGAGUGCGGUAGAGGAGAGCGGAAUUCCCGGUGUAGCGGUGGAAUGCGCAGAUAUCGGGAAGAACACCGAUGGCGAAGGCAGCUCUCUGGGCCGUCACUGACGCUGAGGCGCGAAAGCUGGGGGAGCGAACAGG
rnacentral:rRNA from 1 species